rnacentral:hammerhead_ribozyme from 1 species
AUCCAGCUGACGAGUCACAGACAGGACGAAAUGUGCAUCAAACUGGAU